rnacentral:rRNA from 1 species
AAACUUUCAACAACGGAUCUCUUGGUUCUGGCAUCGAUGAAGAACGSAGCGAAAUGCGAUAAGUAAUGUGAAUUGCAGAAUUCAGUGAAUCAUCGAAUCUUUGAACGCACAUUGCGCCCGCUAGUAUUCUGGCGGGCAUGCCUGUCCGAGCGUCAU